AGAGUUUGAUCCUGGCUCAGAGCGAACGUUAGCGGCGCGCCUAACACAUGCAAGUCGCACGAGAAAGGGCUUCGGCCCCGGUAAAGUGGCGCACGGGUGCGUAACACGUAGGUAAUCUGCCCAUAGGUGGGGGAUAACGACCCGAAAGGGUCGCUAAUACCGCAUAAGACCACGGCCUGUACUCAGGCUGAGGUCAAAGCUGGCCUCUUCAUGAAAGCUAGCGCCUAAGGAUGAGCCUGCGGCCCAUCAGUUAGUUGGUAGGGUAAUGGCCUACCAAGGCUAAGACGGGUAGCUGGUCUGAGAGGAUGAUCAGCCACACUGGUACUGAAACACGGACCAGACUCCUACGGGAGGCAGCAGUGGGGAAUAUUGGUCAAUGGGCGAAAGCCUGAACCAGCGACGCCGCGUGAGUGAUGAAGGCCUUCGGGUUGUAAAGCUCUGUGGGGAGGGAAGAAAACAGCUUAGGCGAAUAGGCUAGGCUCUUGACGGUACCUCCUUAGCAAGCACCGGCUAACUCUGUGCCAGCAGCCGCGGUAAGACAGAGGGUGCAAACGUUGCUCGGAAUUACUGGGCGUAAAGCGCGUGUAGGCGGACAGGAAAGUCGGGCGUGAAAUCCCUGGGCUCAACCCAGGAACUGCACUCGAAACUUCCUGUCUUGAGUGGUGGAGAGGGAUGCGGAAUUCCUGGUGUAGAGGUGAAAUUCGUAGAUAUCAGGAGGAACACCGGUGGCGAAGGCGGCAUCCUGGACACUAACUGACGCUGAGACGCGAAAGCGUGGGAGCAAACAGGAUUAGAUACCCCCGUAGUCC
rnacentral:rRNA from 1 species